AUUGAACGCUGGCGGCAGGCUUAACACAUGCAAGUCGAGCGGAGAUGAGGUGCUUGCACCUUAUCUUAGCGGCGGACGGGUGAGUAAUGCUUAGGAAUCUGCCUAUUAGUGGGGGACAACAUUCCGAAAGGAAUGCUAAUACCGCAUACGUCCUACGGGAGAAAGCAGGGGAUCUUCGGACCUUGCGCUCAUAGAUGAGCCUAAGUCGGAUUAGCUAGUUGGUGGGGUAAAGGCCUACCAAGGCGACGAUCUGUAGCGGGUCUGAGAGGAUGACCCGCCACACUGGGGCUGAGACACGGCCCAGACUCCGACGGGGGGCAGCAGUGGGGAAUAUUGGGCAAUGGGGGGAACCCUGAUCCAGCCAUGCCGCGUGUGUGAAGAAGGCCUUAUGGUUGUAAGGCACUUUAAGCGAGGAGGAGGCUACUGAGACUAAUACUCUUGGAUAGUGGACGUUACUCGCAGAAUAAGCACCGGCUAACUCUGUGCCAGCCGCCGCCGUAA
rnacentral:rRNA from 1 species